GAUGAACGCUGGCGGUAUGCUUAACACAUGACAAGUCGAACGGUCACUUCGGUGAUAGUGGCGGACGGGUGAGUAACGCGUGAGAAUCUGUCUUCAGGUCGGGGACAACAGUUAGAAAUGACUGCUAAUACCGGAUGUGCCGAAAGGUAAAAGAUUUAUUGCCUGGAAAAGAGCUCGCGUCAGAUUAGCUAGUAGGUGGUGUAAGAGACUACCUAGGCGACGAUCUGUAGCUGGUCUGAGAGGACGAUCAGCCACACUGGAACUGAGACACGGUCCAGACUCCUACGGGAGGCAGCAGUGGGGGUAACUUUUCCGCAAUGGGCGAAAGCCUGACGGAGCAAUACCGCGUGAGGGACGAAGGCUUUUGGGUCGUAAACCUCUUUUAGUUAGGGAAGAUUUCAGGACGGUACCUAAUGAAUAAGCAUCGGCUAACUCUGUGCCAGCAGCCGCGGUAAU
rnacentral:rRNA from 1 species